AGUGAACGCUGGCGGUAGGCCUAACACAUGCAAGUCGAACGGCAGCACAGUAAGAGCUUGCUCUUACGGGUGGCGAGUGGCGGACGGGUGAGGAAUACAUCGGAAUCUACUUUUUCGUGGGGGAUAACGUAGGGAAACUUACGCUAAUACCGCAUACGACCUACGGGUGAAAGCAGGGGAUCUUCGGACCUUGCGCGAUUGAAUGAGCCGAUGUCGGAUUAGCUAGUUGGCGGGGUAAAGGCCCACCAAGGCGACGAUCCGUAGCUGGUCUGAGAGGAUGAUCAGCCACACUGGAACUGAGACACGGUCCAGACCCCUACGGGAGGCAGCAGGGGGGAAUAUUGGACAAUGGGCGAAAGCCUGAUCCAGCCAUACCGCGUGGGUGAAGAAGGCCUUCGGGUUGUAAAGCCCUUUUGUUGGGAAAGAAAAGCAGCAGGUUAAUACCCCGCUGUUCUGACGGUACCCAAAGAAUAAGCACCGGCGAAAUUCGU
rnacentral:rRNA from 1 species